rnacentral:rRNA from 1 species
CCUACGGGGUGCAGCAGUGAGGAAUAUUGGUCAAUGGGCGCGAGCCUGAACCAGCCAAGUCGCGUGAGGGAAGACGGUCCUAUGGAUUGUAAACCUCUUUUGUCGGGGAGCAAAAGACGCCACGCGUGGCGUUCCGCGAGUACCCGAAGAAAAAGCAUCGGCAAACUCCGUGCCAGCAGCCGCGGUACUACGGAGGAUGCGAGCUUUAUCCGGAUUUAUUGGGUUUAAGGGGUGCGCAGGCGGAAGAUCAAGUCAGCGGUAAAAUUGAGAGGCUCAACCUCUUCGAGCCGUUGAAACUGGCGUUCUUGAGUGGGCGAGAGGUAUGCGGAAUGCGUGGUGUAGCGGUGAAAUGCAUAGAUAUCACGCAGAACUCCGAUUGCGAAGGCAGCAUACCGGCGCCCAACUGACGCUGAAGCACGAAAGCGUGGGUAUCGAACAGGAUUAGAUACCCCAGUAGUC